GAUGAACGCUGGCGGCGUGCUUAACACAUGCAAGUCGAGCGAGAAGUUUUGAAAAGAUUCUUCGGAUGAAAUUUAAAAUGGAAAGCGGCGGACGGGUGAGUAACGCGUAGGCAACCUGCCCCAUACAAAGGGAUAGCAUUUGGAAACGAAUAUUAAUACCUUAUGAAACUUAACUAGUGCAUGCUAGGUAGGUCAAAGAUUUAUCGGUAUGGGAUGGGCCUGCGUCUGAUUAGCUACUUGGUGAGGUAACGGCUCACCAAGGCGACGAUCAGUAGCCGACCUGAGAGGGUGAACGGCCACAUUGGAACUGAGACACGGUCCAAACUCCUACGGGAGGCAGCAGUGGGGAAUAUUGCACAAUGGGGGAAACCCUGAUGCAGCAACGCCGCGUGAACGAUGAAGGCCUUUGGGUCGUAAAGUUCUGUUCUAGGUGAUGAAAACUGACAGUAACCUAGGAGAAAGCCCCGGCUAACUCCGUG
rnacentral:rRNA from 1 species